AGAAGAUGGAUGAAGCAGCGAAGCAGGGUUCUGUUUAAAUUGAAACUACUACAGCAUUAUAUGCAAAGAGAAAUCAAUCUCAGAGGGGGAAAAAAGAAGAACCAAAUAUAGAUUAAAAAGCUGCCUCUCCAAAGAUUUUGAAAUAUGAGAAGCUUGGCUCUGCAUGUAAGAUUAAUGACAGCUAUGUGUGUGAUGAAUAGUUCAGCUCAAAUCAGGGGAAAGUUUUACCCUAAGUAUCUGCUGUUCCGAAUGUUGAAACCCUAAUAUCAUCCAGCCAUACAGCAGGUGCGCACCGCUUCCCUAUUCUCCCGGACUGCACAAUGAAGUGAACAACAAAGAGAAAUAAUACGUAUGCUUAUAAUCAACCCACAUCACUUUAUGACAAAAAGGGCACUGAAAGAGAUGGACAAUAGGGACACACCUUUGCAACAUCAUCUCCCCACGCAGAGAUGCCUGGUUACAUCGCAGUGAAGCUAAAUCCCAGCAGCAUUUCAAUGAGACUCUAGUGAAGCAAAGGGGAGUCAGAUCAGCUCCACAAAACCAAUAUAACUAUUUAAUAUCCCAAAGGGAUUGUC